rnacentral:lncRNA from 1 species
AAAUUUGGACUGCCACUGGAAAAUGAGGGUAUAUUGGAUAGAGACAGAAAUUUUGCCUUGCAACAGGCCACCUACAGACCCCUCAAAGAGUUGUUGCAAGGGUUCUUAACGUGCAAAGAGCGUGGCACUCUCUUUACACCAGGCAUCGGAUUUAACGUCCCCCUUCUGACCGGACGUGACUGCGAACUUGAUACAUCCCGCACAG